rnacentral:lncRNA from 1 species
GUUCUGUACGUGAUCAGGGAAGGCUCUAGAGAGCCAAACCCUAGUUCAUCAUAUAUCAACCAAUUGAAGCAUGAAUCGAGGCUCAAAUUCAAGAAGGAACAUGAAUUAACGAUCACCCAAGCUAGGGGAUCAUAAGGUGGGUUGAAAUUGAUUGUGAAAAUGUGUAGAAUCAUGUCAAGAUGGAUGGGAGCUUUGAAGGCUAACGGGCUAAGAGGACUCAAUCAAGUAAGCGAACGAGAAUACGGACGCGCAAGGCUAUACAUGUUUGGAUGUUUCAUCUAGAAGUGUACGCGGUUGGAGAUCGAGUCAAGACACGGAUUGUAUGUGGGUGUGUACGUAGUCACAUAAUUGAGACAUGUAUGUUAGUCUUUGGAUUAAUUUAUAAAAAGAGAUUAAUGUAUUUAAAUGAAAGAAAGAAUAUCUUGAAGGAAUAUUUUUAUAUGUAGUUUCCGCUGCAAAUCUUAGGUUAAAACGUGUUAGGGCGUUACAUUGUAGUUAUUUUUAUUAAGGGGGAAUGGGCACUACCG